rnacentral:rRNA from 1 species
GACGAACGCUGGCGGCGUGCCUAAUACAUGCAAGUCGAACGCAGUGGGGACGGGUGAGUAACACGUGGGUUAACUCCCAUCAGAGGGGAUAACACUUGGAAACAGGUGCUAAAACCGAUAUUGAUGGAUGGUCCCGCGGUGCAUUUUCUAGUGGGUGAGGUGACGGCUCACCAAGGCCACGAUGCAUAGCCGACGUGGGAUGGUGAUCGGCCACACUGGGACUGAUACACGGCCCAGUCUCCUACGGGAGGCAGCAGUAGGGAAUCUUCGGCAAUGGACGAAAGUCUGACCGAGCAACGCCGCGUGAGUGAAGAAGGUUUUCGGAUCGUAAAACUCUGUUGUUAGAGAAGCGGUAUCUAACCAGAAAGCCACGGCUAACUACGUGCCAGCAGCCGCGGUAAUUC